rnacentral:rRNA from 1 species
AUUGAACGCUGGCGGCAUGCCUUACACAUGCAAGUCGAACGGCAGCACGGGGCAACCUGGUGGCGAGUGGCGAACGGGUGAGUAAUGCAUCGGAACGUGCCAUUGAGUGGGGGAUAACGUAGCGAAAGUUGCGCUAAUACCGCAUAUUCUGUGAGCAGGAAAGCAGGGGACCGGCAAGGCCUUGCGCUCUUUGAGCGGCCGAUGUCAGAUUAGCUAGUUGGUGAGGUAACGGCUUACCAAGGCGACGAUCUGUAGCGGGUCUGAGAGGAUGAUCCGCCACACUGGAACUGAGACACGGUCCAGACUCCUACGGGAGGCAGCAGUGGGGAAUUUUGGACAAUGGGCGCAAGCCUGAUCCAGCCAUGCCGCGUGAGUGAAGAAGGCCUCGGUUGUAAG